GAUGUGUUCAGUUAAACUCAUCGACUGCACGAACCUCAUGAUGAAGAUUAAAACUGAACCCACAGAAAUCAAAACUGAACCCACAGAAGAGGAAGAUGAUGAUUUUAUUCCAUCAGAUGUGAAGAGUGAUUCAUGUUUGGAUAUAGAAAUAACGUCCUCAACAUCAAAAGAGCGACUGACAGCACAAACUCUUUCCUGCAUCACCUGUGAAAAGACAUUCAGCUCACAGAGACAUUUAGAGAGACAUGAGAGAAAACACACAGAACAGAAACUCUUCACCAGAUCUGAGAUCAGCUUUACUACCUUACAAGAGAAGAAACUUCAUUCAGAAGAACACAGAGAGAAGAAGAAGAAGAAGAAGAAGAAGAAGAAGCAGUUUCACUGUGAGCAGUGUGGGAGGAUUUGUGUCUCUUCCUCUAAACUAAAUGUUCACAUGAGGACACACAGUGAUGAAAAGCCUUUCUACUGCACUGAAUGUGGAAAAUACUUCAGAACCAAAGACAAUCUUAAAGUUCAUCAGAGAGUUCACACAGGUGAAAAACCUUUCAAAUGCGCUCAGUGUGACAAGAUGUUUACUUUUUCAAGUAACUUAAAAGUCCAUCAAAGAGUUCAUACUGGAGAGAAACCUUAUUACUGUAGUCUCUGUGGGACGAGUUUUAGUCAAUGGGCUACCUUACUAAAUCACAAGAGACUUCAUACAGGUGAAAAACCUUUCAAAUGCUCUCAGUGUGACAAGACAUUUACUUUGUCAGGUCACUUAAAAAUCCAUCAGAGACUUCAUACUGGAGAGAAACCUUACGUCUGCACUCACUGUGGAAAGAACUUCACUAAUGUAUCUCAUUUAAUAGUUCAUCAGAGAGUUCACACUGGAGAGAAACCUUAUCACUGUAAUGUCUGUGGGAAGAGUUUUAGACAAGCGGCUACAUUCCUAUAUCACCAGAGAGUUCAUACAGGUGAAAAACGUUCCAUAUGCUCUCAGUGUGGCAAGACGUUUACUUGUUCAAGUAGCUUAAAAACCCAUGAAAGAAUUCAUACUGGAGAGAAACCUCAUCGCUGUAGUGUCUGUGGGAAGAGUUUUAGACAUGGGGCUGCAUUACUAAAUCACCAGAGAGUUCAUACAGGAGGAAAUUAAAACCUUUCGAAUGCUCUCAGUGUGACAAGACGUUUGCUCUGUCAGGUCAAUUGAAAGUCCAUCAGAGAGUUCAUACUGGAAAGAAACCUUAACUCUGUAAUGUUUGUGGGAAAGGUUAAUCAACAGUCAAACUUUAUGACACCAAAAACUUGUAUAGAUUUUGAAAUAUCAAACAUACAAAUGAAAUAAAACAUUGAGAAAACAGUACUGUA